GGGNNGGGGCUAUACUGCAAGUCGAACGAACUCUGGUAUUGAUUGGUGCUUGCAUCAUGAUUUACAUUUGAGUGAGUGGCGAACUGGUGAGUAACACGUGGGAAACCUGCCCAGAAGCGGGGGAUAACACCUGGAAACAGAUGCUAAUACCGCAUAACAACUUGGACCGCAUGGUCCGAGCUUGAAAGAUGGCUUCGGCUAUCACUUUUGGAUGGUCCCGCGGCGUAUUAGCUAGAUGGUGGGGUAACGGCUCACCAUGGCAAUGAUACGUAGCCGACCUGAGAGGGUAAUCGGCCACAUUGGGACUGAGACACGGCCCAAACUCCUACGGGAGGCAGCAGUAGGGAAUCUUCCACAAUGGACGAAAGUCUGAUGGAGCAACGCCGCGUGAGUGAAGAAGGGUUUCGGCUCGUAAAACUCUGUUGUUAAAGAAGAACAUAUCUGAGAGUAACUGUUCAGGUAUUGACGGUAUUUAACCAGAAAGCCACGGCUAACUACGUGCCAGCAGCCGCGGUAAUACGUAGGUGGCAAGCGUUGUCCGGAUUUAUUGGGCGUAAAGCGAGCGCAGGCGGUUUUUUAAGUCUGAUGUGAAAGCCUUCGGCUCAACCGAAGAAGUGCAUCGGAAACUGGGAAACUUGAGUGCAGAAGAGGACAGUGGAACUCCAUGUGUAGCGGUGAAAUGCGUAGAUAUAUGGAAGAACACCAGUGGCGAAGGCGGCUGUCUGGUCUGUAACUGACGCUGAGGCUCGAAAGUAUGGGUAGCAAACAGGAUNGNACCCCCCGGNGGAAAA
rnacentral:rRNA from 1 species